rnacentral:rRNA from 1 species
CCUACGGGAGGCAGCAGUAGGGAAUAUUGCUCAAUGGGGGAAACCCUGAAGCAGCAACGCCGCGUGGAGGAUGAAGGUUUUCGGAUUGUAAACUCCUUUUGUUAGAGAAGAUAAUGACGGUAUCUAACGAAUAAGCACCGGCUAACUCCGUGCCAGCAGCCGCGGUAAUACGGAGGGUGCAAGCGUUACACGGAUUCACUGGGCGUAAAGAGCGCGUAGGCGGGAUAGCAAGUCAGAUGUGAAAUCCUAGGGCUUAACCAUAGAACUGCAUUUGAAACUGUUAUUCUAGAGUAUGGGAGAGGUAGGUGGAAUUCUUGGUGUAGGGGUGAAAUCCGUAGAGAUCAAGAGGAAUACUCAUUGCGAAGGCGACCUGCUAGAACAUAACUGACGCUGAUGCGCGAAAGCGUGGGGAGCAAACAGGAUUAGAUACCCCAGUAGUC